rnacentral:rRNA from 1 species
CCCUUAGAUGUUCGGGGCCGCACGCGCGCUACACUGAAGGACUCAGCGUGUCUCUCCCCCUAUCCCGAAAGGGAUGGGCAACCCGUUGAACCUCCUUCGUGCUAGGGAUUGGGGUUUGCAAUUAUCCCCCAUGAACGAGGAAUUCCCAGUAAGCGCGAGUCAUCAGCUCGCGUUGAUUACGUCCCUGCCCUUUGUACACACCGCCCGUCGCUCCUACCGAUUGAAUGAUCCGAUGAAUAUCAUGGAUUGAGGAUGCAAGUAGGUUCGCCUAUCUUCAUCUUCGAGAAGUGAAGUAAAUCUUAUCAUUUAGAGGAAGGAGAAGUCGUAACA